rnacentral:rRNA from 1 species
GCCUAUGGCCAUACCACCCUGAAAGCGCCCGAUCUCGUCUGAUCUCGGAAGCUAAGCAGGCACGGGCCUUGUUAGUACCUGGAUGGGAGACCGCCUAGGAAUACCAGGUGUUGUAGGCU